rnacentral:rRNA from 1 species
AUUGAACGCUGGCGGCAGGCCUAACACAUGCAAGUCGAGCGGAUGAAGGGAGCUUGCUCCUGGAUUCAGCGGCGGACGGGUGAGUAAUGCCUAGGAAUCUGCCUGGUAGUGGGGGAUAACGUCCGGAAACGGGCGCUAAUACCGCAUACGUCCUGAGGGAGAAAGUGGGGGAUCUUCGGACCUCACGCUAUCAGAUGAGCCUAGGUCGGAUUAGCUAGUUGGUGGGGUAAAGGCCUACCAAGGCGGCGAUCCGUAACUGGUCUGAGAGGAUGAUCAGUCACACUGGAACUGGGACACGGUCCAGGCUCCUACGGGAGGCAGCAGUGGGGAAUAUUGGACAAUGGGCGAAAGCCUGAUCCAGCCAUGCCGCGUGUGUGAAGAAGGUCUUCGGAUUGUAAAGCACUUUAAGUUGGGAGGAAGGGCAGUAAGUUAAUACCUUGCUGUUUUGACGUUACCAACAGAAUAAGCACCGGCUAACUUCGUG